GACGAACGCUGGCGGCGGGCUUAACACAUGCAAGUCGAACGGAAAGGCCCUGCUUUUGUGGGGUGCUCGAGUGGCGAACGGGUGAGUAACACGUGAGUAACCUGCCCUUGACUUUGGGAUAACUUCAGGAAACUGGGGCUAAUACCGGAUAGGAGCUCCUGCUGCAUGGUGGGGGUUGGAAAGUUUCGGCGGGUGGGGAUGGACUCGCGGCUUAUCAGCUUGUUGGUGGGGUAGUGGCUUACCAAGGCUUUGACGGGUAGGCGGCCUGAGAGGGUGGCCGGCCACAAUGGUACUGAGAGACGGCCCAGACUCCUACGGGAGGCAGCAGUGGGGAAUAUUGCACAAUGAUCGGGAGCCUGAUGCAGCAACGCCGCGGGCGGGAUGACGGCCUUCGGGUUGUGAACCGCUUUCGCCUGUGACGAAGCGUGAGUGACGGUAAUGGGUAAAGAAGCACCGGCUAACUACGUG
rnacentral:rRNA from 1 species